GUACGGGAGGCAGCAGUGGGGAAUCUUGCACAAUGGGGGAAACCCUGAUGCAGCGACGCCGCGUGAGCGAUGAAGCCCUUCGGGGUGUAAAGCUCUUUCGGCAGGGACGAUGAUGACGGUACCUGCAGAAGCAGCUGCGGCUAACUACGUGCCAGCAGCCGCGGUAAUACGUAGGCAGCGAGCGUUGUUCGGAGUUACUGGGCGUAAAGGGUGCGUAGGCGGCCUCUUAAGUUUGGUGUGAAAUCUCCCGGCUCAACUGGGAGGGUGCGCCGGAUACUGAGGGGCUAGAGUGCGGGAGGGGAAAGUGGAAUUCCUGGUGUAGCGGUGAAAUGCGUAGAUAUCAGGAGGAACACCGGUGGUGUAAACGGCUUUCUGGACCGUAACUGACGCUGAGGCACGAAAGCGUGGGGAGCAAACAGGAUUAGAUACCCCGGUAGC
rnacentral:rRNA from 1 species